CCUACGGGAGGCAGCAGUGAGGAAUAUUGGUCAAUGGGCGAGAGCCUGAACCAGCCAAGUCGCGGGAGGGAGGACGGCCCUACGGGUUGUAAACCUCUUUUGCCGGGGGACAAACGGCGGCACGCGUGCCGUCCUGAGGGUACCCGGAGAAACAGCCUCGGCUAACACGGGGCCAGCAGCCGCGGUAAUACGGAGGAUGCGAGCGUUAUCCGGAUUUAUCGGGUUUAAGGGGUGCGUAGGCGGGAUGCCAAGUCAGCGGACAAAUACGGGGGCUCAACCUGCGUCCGCCGUUGAAACUGGCGUUCUUGAGUGGGCGAGAAGUACGCGGAAUGCGUGGUGUAGCGGUGAAAUGCAUAGAUAUCACGCAGAACCCCGAUUGCGAAGGCAGCGUACCGGCGCCCGACUGACGCUGAAGCACGAAAGCGUGGGUAUCGAACAGGAUUAGAUACCCCGGUAGUC
rnacentral:rRNA from 1 species